CGGCUCAGUAACACGUGGACAACCUACCCUUAGGACAGGUAUAAACCCGGGAAACUGGGUAUAAUCCCUGAUAGUCCUCGACUGCUGGAAUGCAUCGAGGCCGAAAGCUCCGGCGCCUAAGGAUGGGUCUGCGGCCUAUCAGGUAGUAGUGGGUCUAAAGUACCUACUAGCCUACGACGGGUACGGGUUGUGAGAGCAAGAGCCCGGAGAUGGAUUCUGAGACACGAAUCCAGGCCCUACGGGGUGCAGCAGGCGCGAAAACUUUACAAUGCCGGCAACGGCGAUAAGGGGACCUCGAGUGCCAGGUUACAAAUCUGGCUGUCGUGAUGCCUAAAAAGCAUUGCAUAGCAAGGGCCGGGCAAGACCGGUGCCAGCCGCCGCGGUAACACCGGCGGCUCGAGUGGUAACCGUUAUUAUUGGGUCUAAAGGGUCUGUAGCCGGCCGGAUAAGUCUCUUGGGAAAUCCAGCAGCUCAACUGUUGGGCUUCCAGGAGAUACUGUCUGGCUCGAGGCCGGGAGAGGUGAGAGGUACUUCAGGGGUAGGGGUGAAAUCUUGUAAUCCUUGAAGGACCACCAGUGGCGAAGGCGCCUCACCAGAACGGACCUGACGGCAAGGGACGAAAGCUAGGGGCACGAACCGGAUUAGAUACCCGGGUAGUCCUAGCCGUAAACG
rnacentral:rRNA from 1 species